AAGACUAUACUUUCAGGGACCAUUUCUAUAGUUCACUACUGGGGAAGUUUCUCUGAACAUAUAGAUCACCCCAAACCACAAGGAGGAAGCACAUUGUUCUCUCCUGAGCAUGAAGUCUGUUCCUCGUGUUGCUUCUGCAACUGCUAUUUACCAUUUAUUAUCAUUCUUCAAUUCCUUUUGGGGUGAAAGGGGGAGAAUGCUGUCUGAGUGGU